rnacentral:rRNA from 1 species
CCCUUAGACGCUCUGGGCCGCACGCGCGCUACACUGACGAAGGCAACGAGCUUUCCUUUACCGAAAGGUACGGGUAAUCUUUUGAAACUUCGUCGUGCUGGGGAUAGAUCCUUGCAAUUUUUGAUCUUAAACGAGGAAUGCCUAGUAAGCGCAAGUCAUCAACUUGCGUUGAUUACGUCCCUGCCCUUUGUACACACCGCCCGUCGCUACUACCGAUUGAAUGGUUUAGUGAGGCCUUCGGAUCCGCGACUCGUUUUGUGGAGAAGUUGGACAAACUCAGUCAUUUAGAGGAAGUAAAAGUCGUAACA